rnacentral:lncRNA from 1 species
CGGGGAAGGACUGCCCGUUCCAUGAUCUCGCCAUCACGGUUGACAACUCCAUUGUGUCCUCCUGCCAGAGUGCUAAGAGCCUUGGCGUGACCCUGGACAACGCCCUGUUGUUCUCCGCUAACAUCAAGGCGGUGACCCGAUCCUAUCAUGAUCCCACCCUGGACCAGGAGGACCCAGUCCUUGUUCAGUUUGUGGAUGAGGAGGUUGGGCAGCGGCCCUGUCUGGCUUUAGUCCCUUGGUCUGGACCUCUGUGGGUUCCCAGCUCUCUGACUUAUUACCUUACCCUUGCUGGGAGGAUGUUAGUGAGAGAGCUGGCAGUGUUAAACACACAGAUUUUCAUGAUGGAUCAGCCUGUUCUCAUCUGUUUCACUCCUGUUGGGAGGAUGGUGUGGGAGGAACUGUCUUCUCAAACUGAACAGCCAAAUAGUGAAGACUCUGGUUUUCCCUUUGAGAAGAUGCAGCUGGUUGGGAACUAGGG